GAAAAAGAAUGUGUCCAAACUAGACGGAUAGUCAGUCACUUUAGAACAACACAGAAAUAACUUAACACUUGUUUAAAACUUGUGCCCACUUGUUUUGUUUGUUAUUUUGUCAGCUAUGUUACAUAUUGACAUAAUCAAAUGAUAUAAGUAUUGUAUAUGACAAACUAUCAUCAAUAGAGUAAAGAGUAGAACACUAAGAUGUGUGUCUGGUGUCAGAGUUAGAAAUUAUAACAAUGAUGAAGCAGGUUCACUGUAAUAUUUACUGAACUUUAACUAAAUCUAAACUAUAACUUUAUGUGUGUGGCUGUGUUGCCCUUAUAGACCAGCAACAGGCAAACUGUCACACGAGUGUUGUAGAUGCAGGUGUAGAGUAUGAUGUAAAGGAAGAGGGAGGAGGUGAAACAUGAACGGAUAAAACCCUUGUAUGACUCA
rnacentral:lncRNA from 1 species